rnacentral:rRNA from 2 species
CUAGUACGAGAGGACCGGAGUGGACGCAUCACUGGUGUUCGGGUUGUCAUGCCAAUGGCACUGCCCGGUAGCUAAAUGCGGAAGAGAUAAGUGCUGAAAGCAUCUAAGCACGAAACUUGCCCCGAGAUGAGUUCUCCCUGAGACUUAGAGUCUCCUGAAGGAACGUUGAAGACGACGACGUUGAUAGGCCGGGUGUGUAAGCGCAGCGAUGCGUUGAGCUAACCGGUACUAAUGAACCGUGAGGCUUAACCUU